UUAGGUGACUAUUGCAAUGAGGUCCACCUCUUCCCAUUCCGAACAGAGAAGUUAAGCUCAUUAGCGCAGAUGGUACUGGUUUUUCCGGGAGAGUAUGUCGUCGCCAAUU
rnacentral:rRNA from 1 species